GCCCCCCUCAAGAUGAGAUUUCCCAGUAUGUAAGACCCCUUGAAGACGACGAGGUAGAUAGGUUGGGGGUGGAAGUGCAGUAAUGCAUGGAGCUGACCAAUACUAAUCGGUCGAGGGCUUAUCCUAA
rnacentral:rRNA from 2 species